GACGUAGGGCGCGAGCGUUGUCCGGAUUUAUUGGGCGUAAAGAGCUCGUAGGCGGCUUGUCGCGUCGACUGUGAAAUCCCGCGGCUCAACUGCGGGUCUGCAGUCGAUACGGGCAGGCUAGAGUUCGGUAGGGGAGACUGGAAUUCCUGGUGUAGCGGUGAAAUGCGCAGAUAUCAGGAGGAACACCCGUGGCUAAGGCGGCUCUCUAGUACGGUACUGACGCUGAGACGCGAAAGCGUGGGGAGCGAACAGG
rnacentral:rRNA from 1 species